GGGCCCGCACAAGCGGUGGAGCAUGUGGUUUAAUUCGAUGCAACGCGAAGAACCUUACCUACUCUUGACAUCCAGAGAAGCCAGCGGAGACGCAGGUGUGCCUUCGGGAGCUCUGAGACAGGUGCUGCAUGGCUGUCGUCAGCUCGUGUUGUGAAAUGUUGGGUUAAGUCCCGCAACGAGCGCAACCCUUAUCCUUGUUUGCCAGCGAGUAAUGUCGGGAACUCCAGGGAGACUGCCGGUGAUAAACCGGAGGAAGGUGGGGACGACGUCAAGUCAUCAUGGCCCUUACGAGUAGGGCUACACACGUGCUACAAUGGCGCAUACAGAGGGCGGCCAACUUGCGAGAGUGAGCGAAUCCCAAAAAGUGCGUCGUAGUCCGGAUCGGAGUCUGCAACUCGACUCCGUGAAGUCGGAAUCGCUAGUAAUCGCAGGU
rnacentral:rRNA from 1 species